rnacentral:rRNA from 1 species
AUUGAACGCUGGCGGAAUGCUUUACACAUGCAAGUCGAGCGGCAGCGCGGGGCAACCUGGCGGCGAGCGGCGAACGGGUGAGUAACACAUCGGAACGUGCCCAGACGUGGGGGAUAGCCCGGCGAAAGCCGGAUUAAUACCGCAUACGAUCUAAGGAUGAAAGCGGGGGACUCGCAAGGGCCUCGCGCGUUUGGAGCGGCCGAUGGCAGAUUAGGUAGUUGGUGGGGUAAAGGCUUACCAAGCCUGCGAUCUGUAGCUGGUCUGAGAGGAUGAUCAGCCACACUGGGACUGAGACACGGCCCAGACUCCUACGGGAGGCAGCAGUGGGGAAUUUUGGACAAUGGGCGCAAGCCUGAUCCAGCCAUUCCGCGUGCAGGACGAAGGCCUUCGGGUUGUAAACUGCUUUUGUACGGAACGAAAGGUCUUCUCUAAUACAGAGGGCCCAUGACGGUACCGUAAGAAUAAGCACCGGCUAACUACGUGCCAGCAGCCGCGGU